GGAGAAAAGCAGGGGAUCGCAAGACCUUGCGCUAAAGGAGCGGCCGAUGUCUGAUUAGUUAGUUGGUGGGGUAAAGGCCUACCAAGGCAACGAUCAGUAGCUGGUCUGAGAGGACGAUCAGCCACACUGGGACUGAGACACGGCCCAGACUCCUACGGGAGGCAGCAGUGGGGAAUUUUGGACAAUGGGCGAAGGCCUGAUCCAGCCAUGCCGCGUGAAUGAAGAAGGCCUUCGGGUUGUAAAGUUCUUUUAGUUGGAAAGAAAAAAUUAUGAUGAAUAAUCAUAAUUCAUGACGGUACCGACAGAAAAAGCACCGGCUAACUACGUGCCAGCAGCCGCGGUAAUACGUAGGGUGCAAGCGUUAAUCGGAAUUACUGGGCGUAAAGGGUGUGCAGGCGGCCUUGUUAAGUUAGGGGAGUUGGUUGA
rnacentral:rRNA from 1 species